rnacentral:rRNA from 1 species
UAAUUCGAUGCAACGCGAAGAACCUUACCUGGUCUUGACAUCCACAGAACUUUCCAGAGAUGGAUUGGUGCCUUCGGGAACUGUGAGACAGGUGCUGCAUGGCUGUCGUCAGCUCGUGUUGUGAAAUGUUGGGUUAAGUCCCGCAACGAGCGCAACCCUUAUCCUUUGUUGCCAGCGGUCCGGCCGGGAACUCAAAGGAGACUGCCAGUGAUAAACUGGAGGAAGGUGGGGAUGACGUCAAGUCAUCAUGGCCCUUACGACCAGGGCUACACACGUGCUACAAUGGCGCAUACAAAGAGAAGCGACCUCGCGAGAGCAAGCGGACCUCAUAAAGUGCGUCGUAGUCCGGAUUGGAGUCUGCAACUCGACUCCAUGAAGUCGGAAUCGCUAGUAAUCGUGGAUCAGAAUGCCACGGUGAAUACGUUCCCGGGCCUUGUACACACCGCCCGUCACACCAUGGGAGUGGGUUGCAAAAGAAGUAGGUAGCUUAACCUUCGGGAGGGCGCUUACCACUUUGUGAUUCAUGACUGGGGUGAAGUCGUAACAAGGUAACCGUAGGGGAACCUGCGGUUGGAUCAC